rnacentral:rRNA from 1 species
UACGGAGGGAGCUAGCGUUGUUCGGAAUUACUGGGCGUAAAGCGCACGUAGGCGGCUAUUCAAGUCAGGGGUGAAAGCCCGGAGCUUAACUCCGGAACUGCCUUUGAAACUAGAUAGCUAGAAUCUUGGAGAGGCGAGUGGAAUUCCGAGUGUAGAGGUGAAAUUCGUAGAUAUUCGGAAGAACACCAGUGGCGAAGGCGACUCGCUGGACAAGUAUUGACGCUGAGGUGCGAAAGCGUGGGGAGCAAACAGG